UUUGUUUUUCAUUCCCCAAGUUCCUUAAUGCCCCUCAUGGAGUUUGUAUUCCAAUUCAGGUCCAUGCGCUUUGCCAUCACUGAGAGGUUAUGGUUUGUUUUUUACCUUUUGUUUCAAAAACAUCUGUGUCUUUGCCAAUAUUGUCCUUUCUUGGAAGAAGCCAAAACAAAAUCACUUUUCCAUGCAAAAUGUCGGAAGGUCAUAUUCUUUCUCAUCCUGUGCACUGGUUAACAACUCAUCCCAGGGUUAGAUACCCAACCGGGAAUACUGUUGGCCAGACUAUGUUUACCCCGCCGUUAACAGGUCUAAUUGGACCACAUCUCAG